rnacentral:rRNA from 1 species
UACGUAGGCAGCGAGCGUUGUUCGGAAUUACUGGGCGUACAGAGUGUGUAGGCGGUGCUCUAAGUCUGUUGUGAAAUCUCCCGGCUCAACUGGGAGGGUGCGGCGGAAACUGGAGUGCUCGAGUGUGGGAGAGGUAAGCGGAAUUCCUGGUGUAGCGGUGAAAUGCGUAGAUAUCAGGAGGAACACCUGUGGUGUAGACAGCUUACUGGACCACGACUGACGCUGAGACACGAAAGCGUGGGUAGCAAACAGG